rnacentral:rRNA from 1 species
CAGUAGCCACGGUAAUACGAAGGGUGCAAGCGUUACUCGGAAUUACUGGGCGUAAAGCGUGCGUAGGUGGUGGUUUAAGUCCGUUGUGAAAGCCCUGGGCUCAACCUGGGAAUUGCAGUGGAUACUGGGUCACUAGAGUGUGGUAGAGGAUAGUGGAAUUUCCGGUGUAGCAGUGAAAUGCGUAGAGAUCGGAAGGAACAUCUGUGGCGAAGGCGACUAUCUGGGCCAACACUGACACUGAGGCGCGAAAGCGUGGGGAGCAAACAGGAUUAGAUACCCCCGUAGUCCCUGUCUCUUAUAC